CAGACGAUCAGGCAGUCAGGAGAGGGAGGGACAGAGCAAGUCAGCUUUGGUGGCCCCCACCCCAGACCUGUACCACCUUGGGAAGCAGCAGCCCAGAGGCUUAAGAAGAUGCUGACUUAAACGUUCAGGGCACCCCUGUCUGGCCAACAUGGCUGAAACACACCCUCCGUAUUCUUCCUUCAAGAAGCUAUCAUCUUUCUUCAAUGGCAUCACCGCUGUGUCUGGUGUGGUCCUCAUUGGCCUGGGCUUCUAUGUCAAGUUCAGAGGGGCUGCCCUAACGAGGGUCCUCGGGCUGUCCCAUGCACACCUGCAUCACGUUGGCUACCUGUGUCUGGUGUUGGGCUGCGUCACGGUCCUGCUCAGCUUCACUGGGUGGUACGGGGUUACCAAAGAGAACAGAGGCACGCUCCUGUUUUGUUCGUUGUUCAUGAUUUUCAUUCUCAUCAUGGAAAUCGGGGUCACCUCGGUGGUCCUUGGGUUCUUACCCACUGUUCAAGACAUGGGCUUGGAGCACAACGUUGUGACCCUGAGGACGAACUAUAAAGGUUUCAACGAGCCCGAUGAUUAUUCCACGGACUGGAACUCGGUCAUGGAGAAGCUAAAGUGCUGUGGAGUGAAAAACUACACGGAUUUUUCUGGCUCCUCCUUUGAAAUGAUGACAGGUCACGCCUACCCCAGGAGUUGCUGUAAAUCCAUCCAGACCGUGGCCUGUGAUGGGCACAAUGUGUCCACAGACAUCAUCCACCAGGAGGGCUGUUUGCCCAAGCUCCUGGAAAUAACCAAGACUCAGAGUUUCAACCUAAGCGGGGGCUCACUGGGGGCGGCAGUGAUCCAGGCCUGAAGAGGUGAGGACAGCAAGAGCCAAGGAGGAGGGGUCAUCUGCUCACAGCUCUGGUCAUGGAGGGCUCAGGAUGGGCAGAAGAGUGGGAGCAACUGAUGGAGAAAUACCCCAACCUUUCCUCCAGCCCGCCCAUCGCCUGCUGGUGCUUCCUAUUGGCCAAACCUAACAGGAACUGCCAGGAAUUCUCGCCACCUUGCUGCUGUUCACCAAGCUGGGCUGACAGACCUGGGGAGGACAGGACACCUGGACCCACCUGGCUGCUGGAGAAGUGGUCUCAUUUUUACUUUUCUGUGGCACUCACCUGCUUCUUGGAGGGAGAUUCAUAAUGCUUUUAUUAUCAGGGGAACCCCUGUCAUCCUGACUCCUUCUCCUUCGUUUUGUUUUCCACACCAGCUGGCAACGAUUUCAGUUCUGAACGGGAUGACCCAGCCUUCCUUCUCAUGCAGCGUUUUUGUUUUAUAGAUUGUUUUGUGAAAAAAAAUCUUCCAGGUUCACAAAAGCCAAGAGAAUUCAUCCAAAGAAACCCCCACAUACUCGUCACCCAGAUUCAACAAUCACCAAGAGUUUGACAUAUUUGUUUCAUUCUCCCUUUUGCCCCUUGAGGAAGUAUUUUCAAACAAGUCACAAUGUCAUUUCCCCCCCUCAUCGUUCGGCACAUAUCUCUAAAAAUGUAUAUAUUUGGAUCUUUAUUUAUUUGCAUAUUAUGUUUGCAAGCAUAAUGCCAUGCUCACAUUUGACGGAAUGUUUACGUCCCCCUCGAAAUUCGGACAUUGAAAGCUAACCCCCAAGGGAAUGGGGUGAGGAGACGGGGCCUUUGGGAGGUGAGGAGGUCAUGAGGGUGGAGCCCUGAUGAGUAGGAUUAGUGCCCUUAGGAGAGACCCCAGAGAGCUCCCUUGC